rnacentral:rRNA from 1 species
UACGGGGGGAGCAAGCGUUGUUCGGAUUUACUGGGCGUAAAGGGCGCGUAGGCGGCCACUGCAAGUCGGUUGUGAAAUCUCCGGGCUUAACCCGGAAAGGUCAAUCGAUACUGCAGGGCUAGAGUGCAGAAGGGGCAACUGGAAUUCUCGGUGUAGCGGUGAAAUGCGUAGAUAUCGAGAGGAACACCGGUGGCGAAGGCGGAUCUCUGGGCCGAUACUGACGCUGAGGAGCGAAAGCGUGGGGAGCGAACAGG